rnacentral:rRNA from 1 species
AUUGAACGCUGGCGGCGUGCUUAACACAUGCCAGUCGAACGGCAGCGCGGGCUUCGGCCUGGCUGCGGGUGGCGAACGGACGGGUAAUUCAUCCGAACGUGCCCUGUCUUGGGGGAGAGGCCGGCUAAAGCCGGAUUUAUCCAGCAUCCGACCUGAGUAGGAAAUCCGGGGUCCCUAAGUCCACGGGCCAUUUGCACGGCCGACGUCGGGUUAGCCAGUUGGUUGGGUAAUGGAUUACCAAGGCGACGAUCCGUGGCUGGUCUGAGAGGACGACCAGCCACACUGGGACUGAGACACGGCCCAGACUCCUACGGGAGGAAGCAGUGGGGAAUUUUGGAAAAUGGGGGAAAGCCUGAUCCAGCAAUGCCGCGUGGGGGAGGAAGGCCUUCGGGUGGUAAACCGCUUUUGUUCGGGAAGAAAUCCUUUGGGCUAAUACCCCGGGGGGAUGACGGUACCGGAAGAAUAAGCACCGGCUAACUACGUG